rnacentral:rRNA from 1 species
UACGUAGGGUGCGAGCGUUGUCCGGAAUUAUUGGGCGUAAAGAGCUCGUAGGCGGCUUGUUGCGUCGACCGUGAAAACCCGGGGCUCAACUUCGGGCUUGCGGUCGAUACGGGCGGGCUAGAGUUCGGUAGGGGAGACUGGAAUUCCUGGUGUAGCGGUGAAAUGCGCAGAUAUCAGGAGGAACACCGGUGGCGAAGGCGGGUCUCUGGGACGGUACUGACGCUGAGACGCGAAAGCGUGGGGAGCGAACAGG